rnacentral:rRNA from 1 species
GACGAACGCUGGCGGCGUGCUUAACACAUGCAAGUCGAACGGAAAGGCCCUGCUUUUGUGGGGUGCUCGAGUGGCGAACGGGUGAGUAACACGUGAGUAACCUGCCCUUGACUUUGGGAUAACUUCAGGAAACUGGGGCUAAUACCGGAUAGGAGCUCCUGCUGCAUGGUGGGGGUUGGAAAGUUUCGGCGGGUGGGGAUGGACUCGCGGCUUAUCAGCUUGUUGGUGGGGUAGUGGCUUACCAAGGCUUUGACGGGUAGCCGGCCUGAGAGGGUGACCGGCCACAUUGGGACUGAGAUACGGCCCAGACUCCUACGGGAGGCAGCAGUGGGGAAUAUUGCACAAUGGGCGGAAGCCUGAUGCAGAAACGCCGCGUGCGGGAUGACGGCCUUCGGGGUGUAAACCGCUUUCGCCUGUGACGAAGCGUGAGUGACGGUAAUGGGUAAAGAAGCACCGGCUAACUACGUG